rnacentral:rRNA from 1 species
GAUGAACGCUGACAGAAUGCUUAACACAUGCAAGUCUACUUGAAUUUGGGUUUUUAACUUAGGUUUGGGUGGCGGACGGGUGAGUAACGCGUAAAGAACUUGCCUCACAGCUAGGGACAACAUUUAGAAAUGAAUGCUAAUACCUAAUAUUAUGAUAAUAGGGCAUCCUAUAAUUAUGAAAGCUAUAUGCGCUGUGAGAGAGCUUUGCGUCCCAUUAGCUAGUUGGAGAGGUAACGGCUCACCAAGGCGAUGAUGGGUAGCCGGCCUGAGAGGGUGAUCGGCCACAAGGGGACUGAGACACGGCCCUUACUCCUACGGGAGGCAGCAGUGGGGAAUAUUGGACAAUGGACCGAGAGUCUGAUCCAGCAAUUCUGUGUGCACGAUGAAGUUUUUCGGAAUGUAAAGUGCUUUCAGUUGGGAAGAAAUAAAUGACGGUACCAACAGAAGAAGUGACGGCUAAAUACGUGCCAGCAGCCGCGGUAAUACGUAUGUCACGAGCGUUAUCCGGAUUUAUUGGGCGUAAAGCGCGUCUAGGUGGUUAUAUAAGUCUGAUGUGAAAAUGCAGGGCUCAACUCUGUAUUGCGUUGGAAACUGUAUAACUAGAGUACUGGAGAGGUAAGCGGAACUACAAGUGUAGAGGUGAAAUUCGUAGAUAUUUGUAGGAAUGCCGAUGGGGAAGCCAGCUUACUGGACAGAUACUGACGCUGAAGCGCGAAAGCGUGGGUAGCAAACAGG